AAGGAGCUUUUAGGCCCCCGGCCAUUGUCUGUGUCAGGGCCUUACUCGGCAUACGUUCGACGGUGUUGCUCAUGGGUGGAACGUUGAUUAUUCGGCACUCUUGAUCGUCUUCUCCUUCCAGUACUGUCCUUCGGGGCGUGGAACGAUGAGGGAAGCGGUGAAGGGUGUCGGGCACGCUGUUGGGUGUCUGAGGGUAUGGCCGUGAGGUUGUGUCUUCCGUGCCGGCCCCAGUGAACUCCCCCUGGAAGGGUGGGGUGGUGGGUGGUUGGUCCGUGUUUGAAAACUGGCCAAGGGACCUCAGCAUUCGU
rnacentral:misc_RNA from 1 species